GGACGGGGCUGGGAUCCAGGA
rnacentral:miRNA from 1 species